rnacentral:rRNA from 1 species
UAGGGAAUCUUCCGCAAUGGGCGAAAGCCUGACGGAGCAACGCCGCGUGAGUGAUGAAGGUCUUCGGAUCGUAAAACUCUGUUAUUAGGGAAGAACAAAUGUGUAAGUAACUAUGCACGUCUUGACGGUACCUAAUCAGAAAGCCACGGCUAACUACGUGCCAGCAGCCGCGGUAAUACGUAGGUGGCAAGCGUUAUCCGGAAUUAUUGGGCGUAAAGCGCGCGUAGGCGGUUUUUUAAGUCUGAUGUGAAAGCCCACGGCUCAACCGUGGAGGGUCAUUGGAAACUGGGGAACUUGAGUGCAGAAGAGGAAAGUGGAAUUCCAUGUGUAGCGGUGAAAUGCGCAGAGAUAUGGAGGAACACCAGUGGCGAAGGCGACUUUCUGGUCUGUAACUGACGCUGAUGUGCGAAAGCGUGGGGAUCAAACAGG